rnacentral:rRNA from 1 species
AGAGUUUGAUCAUGGCUCAGAUUGAACGCUGGCGGCAGGCCUAACACAUGCAAGUCGAACGGUAACAGGAAGCAGCUUGCUGUUUCGCUGACGAGUGGCGGACGGGUGAGUAAUGUCUGGGAAACUGCCUGAUGGAGGGGGAUAACUACUGGAAACGGUAGCUAAUACCGCAUAACGUCGCAAGACCAAAGAGGGGGACCUUCGGGCCUCUUGCCAUCGGAUGUGCCCAGAUGGGAUUAGCUUGUUGGUGGGGUAACGGCUCACCAAGGCGACGAUCCCUAGCUGGUCUGAGAGGAUGACCAGCCACACUGGAACUGAGACACGGUCCAGACUCCUACGGGAGGCAGCAGUGGGGAAUAUUGCACAAUGGGCGCAAGCCUGAUGCAGCCAUGCCGCGUGUAUGAAGAAGGCCUUCGGGUUGUAAAGUACUUUCAGCGGGGAGGAAGGGAGUAAAGUUAAUACCUUUGCUCAUUGACGUUACCCGCAGAAGAAGCACCGGCUAACUCCGUGCCAGCAGCCGCGGUAAUACGGAGGGUGCAAGCGUUAAUCGGAAUUACUGGGCGUAAAGCGCACGCAGGCGGUUUGUUAAGUCAGAUGUGAAAUCCCCGGGCUCAACCUGGGAACUGCAUCUGAUACUGGCAAGCUUGAGUCUCGUAGAGGGGGGUAGAAUUCCAGGUGUACGGUGGAAUGCGUAGAGAUCUGGAGGAAUACCGGUGGCGAAGGCGGCCCCCUGGACGAAGACUGACGCUCAGGUGCGAAAGCGUGGGGAGCAAACAGGAUUAGAUACCCUGGUAGUCCACGCCGUAAACGAUGUCGACUUGGAGGUUGUGCCCUUGAGGCGUGGCUUCCGGAGCUAACGCGUUAAGUCGACCGCCUGGGGAGUACGGCCGCAAGGUUAAAACUCAAAUGAAUUGACGGGGGCCCGCACAAGCGGUGGAGCAUGUGGUUUAAUUCGAUGCAACGCGAAGAACCUUACCUGGUCUUGACAUCCACAGAACUUUCCAGAGAUGGAUUGGUGCCUUCGGGAACUGUGAGACAGGUGCUGCAUGGCUGUCGUCAGCUCGUGUUGUGAAAUGUUGGGUUAAGUCCCGCAACGAGCGCAACCCUUAUCCUUUGUUGCCAGCGGUCCGGCCGGGAACUCAAAGGAGACUGCCAGUGAUAAACUGGAGGAAGGUGGGGAUGACGUCAAGUCAUCAUGGCCCUUACGACCAGGGCUACACACGUGCUACAAUGGCGCAUACAAAGAGAAGCGACCUCGCGAGAGCAAGCGGACCUCAUAAAGUGCGUCGUAGUCCGGAUUGGAGUCUGCAACUCGACUCCAUGAAGUCGGAAUCGCUAGUAAUCGUGGAUCAGAAUGCCACGGUGAAUACGUUCCCGGGCCUUGUACACACCGCCCGUCACACCAUGGGAGUGGGUUGCAAAAGAAGUAGGUAGCUUAACCUUCGGGAGGGCGCUUACCACUUUGUGAUUCAUGACUGGGGUGAAGUCGUAACAAGGUAACCGUAGGGGAACCUGCGGUUGGAUCACCU